UUGACAAGCUGCGAGCUGGUCCGGGCCUUUUUUUUUUUUUUUUUUCCCCUUUCCUUUCCCCCCCUCCCCUCCCUCCCCGGCUUCCUUUCUUUGUAGCCACCUCAGGGGAAGCAACAGAUCGUCACUCGGUGUUCUCACCGAAAGCACGUAAUCGCCGGUGUAACUCAUGUUGGCUGGGGGGCCUCCCGGCGCGCGGCGAGGCUGGGGUGCGUCCCAUGCCACUCGCUUGUGCUCAGCUGCACGGUCCUGGCCCUCAAGUGCGCCGAGGGCGGUGAGAGAGCUCAACUCCUGCCACCCAUCACUCCCCGGGUGAGGGAUGCCCCAGGCUGGGGGUGGCCGGGUGGGAGCUCGUCGCUGCGUGGCCCGUGCGCGGUCCUGGAAUCUAUUCUCCUGGAGGCUCGCGUUCGCACCUCCUUCUUCGCUAUCCCCCUCCCACAGGCUUGCUCUGGAAACCACCUCUGCCUCCGACUCUGGCCGGACCCCCUUCGGGGCCAGGGUUCGCAGCCGUGGAUGUGCCUGCCUCGUGGCUUGCCCGAUUUGCACGGUGACUUGAUUACACGCUCGCAUUCAUGGUCACUUCCGAAGCGCUUUAGUGCCUUCCGUCCCUAAACCGCCAACAACCAGGGCGGCUUCCCCCGCGGUUUGUCAGGCAUCUGCAGGUCCCGGAAGGGCCUUCGUCUUACCCGGGAUCCACCUCCACUUCAUUCUCCCCGCCGGCCUCCUCACUCCACCCCCUGCCCUUAAAGAACCCCCCACCCCCUCCUCCCCGCUGCCUGCCGGGGUUCGGAGUCGCCCGGCAGAGCCGGGGGCUGUGGGGGCUGCGCCACGGUGCACGGGUCCGCCCGCCUGCCUGGUCUCAUGGAGCUGAGGACCCGGGAAGCCGUGCGGUUGAGGCGAGCCUUGGGCUGCUUUAGGGGCGCUGACAGCCGAGGAGCGUUUUCCUGGGUAUGCUGCACCUUCCGCGGGCUCAGCAGGCUGCCAGCGGAGCUUCAGAGCUGAGUGGGGGCAGUGAGGAGAGGCUAGGGACAGGGAGCCGUGGCUGAGAAAAGGGUAACAUGCUUCCUCUCCUUCCUGGCGAAGCGUGAGAGCCAGUGAUGUGCAGGGAGAAACUCAGAAGGCCCGGCGCCUUUUCUGCUACUCAUCCCACAGAAGAAACACAAUGCCAGAGGAAAGAGCGCUGCUUCCCAAACUCGCAGGACCGGGGGUGACAAGAACGCCUCGGAAAGGCUAGAUUGGAGCCCAAGGUAGAGACAGGGGCCAUAGCUGCUAGUAGGAGUCUUAGCUCUCUUGGGAAAAAGAAAGAAAAAAAUUAAGAUGGUGAAAAAUGCUUGCCAUCCUGCAGGAUUGAAUUAUCAACGUUUGGGAGAAGUGAAAGAGGGCAUAGGGCUGCCAGGCAGGACCGCAGCUGGGAGGGGCCCAGCCCUGGGGCCUCCCCACACCUAUCUUCUUGGAAGGAGCUGGAUGCCGCUGAAGCAAAGUUGAAAAAUGAAAAAGGAUAACCUUUUCCCUUUCCCCAUCCAGGAAAUAGCUGAAGGAGGCCCUACACCCGAACUGAGCCCACCCUGCUCAGGGGAAGACCUGACGGGUGCUAAGGCCACCUGGAAUGCCAAGUCCGAGUUGUAUUUCUUAAAGAGAUCGAGCGGAUGAGGCUGUGACAUUGGCCCCUGCUGACUGGUUUCCCACGAGCUGUUCUUUCUCAGGAGCUCCACAAAGCGGAGCCAUCUCCAGACAGCAAUCUUCAGCAUGUAUUUCCUUUUAUCCUCAACCCAGAGCCCCACGGCAGCUAAUGCGAAAGGCCAAAAAUGUUUUGGAGGAAGAAAAACAAAGGCAGGAAGUGGCGGCGGCCUGACGGUGCGUGUGUGUCUGCGGAGAAGGGAGGGAGCCGUUUCAAUCUCUUCUUGUUGUUUUUCCAAACUUCAAGGUCUAGGCAGCCCUCGCAGGGCCGGGCCCUUUCGUUCCCCAAGCCGCGUUUGGAGAUGGCCACCCGGAGAGGAGAAGGCUGGCGCCCCCGCGUCAGCGUGGUCAGGCGGAAACGGCUAACGAGGCGAUUUGCUCAGCAAAGCAGACCGAGCCUUUGCAAGGCUCCGUGUGAUUUGGCCUUAAAUGUGGGGGGGUGGGGGGUGGGGGUUGAGGGGUUCGGCAGCACCUCCCGGAUCCUCCUGCUGGGGCUGAAUGCAUCUUGGUGCAAAUGAUUCCUGCGUCCUACACUCCACCCACCUCCCCAGGCAGGAUACUGGAAUAAAUUGUGUCCAGGUGCUUCUGCCCAGCA